UUCCUCGUGGCCCAAUGGUCACGGCGUCUAGCUACGAACCAGAAGAUUCCAGGUUCAAGUCCUGGCGGGGAAG
rnacentral:tRNA from 1 species